rnacentral:tRNA from 1 species
GUCUUCGUGAUGUAAUGGUAGCAUAAUCGGCCCGUAUUCAAGAUUUUCAGGUUCGAGUCCCGACGAGGGCA